UCUGUCACUGCUAAAAAAUGGGAGUAGGAUUCGGUUCGGUUUCGGGUUCGGCAGACUCUUAACCAAUGGAUUCAGUAUUCGGCUGAACC